GUGAAUCAUCGAAUCUUUGAACGCACCUUGCACCCUCUGGUAUUCUGGAGGGUAUGCCUGUUUGAGUGUCAUUAAUCCCUCAACACAAGAAAACUUGUUUCUCGUGCUUGGAUAGUGAAGGUUUUGCUGGCGCAAAUAACUGUCAUGACUCCUUUUAAAUGCAUUAGCAGAACAGUGCAGGACUGGCCUCAGUUUGAUAAGAAAUAUUUAUCUAUGCUGUCACUAGUAUUUCCUCUUUGUGUUCAGCUUCAAACUGUCUUCGGACUGUCUCUCUUGAGGCAAAAUAAUUCAUUGAUCGACCUCAAAUCAGGUAGGAAUACCCGCUGAACUUAAGCAUAUCAAUAAGC
rnacentral:rRNA from 1 species